rnacentral:rRNA from 1 species
AGCAGCCGCGGUAAUUCCAGCUCCAAUAGCGUAUAUUAAAGUUGUUGCAGUUAAAAAGCUCGUAGUUGAACUUCGGGGUUUACCCAUUGGUCAGGCUUAAUUGUCUGUACUGGUGAGAUAAAUCUCUACCUUCUGAGGAACUUUUAUGCCAUUUAUUUGGUGUGAUUGGAAAUCAGGACUAUUACUUUGAAAAAAUUAGAGUGUUUAAAGCAGGCUAACGUCUGAAUAUAUUAGCAUGGAAUAAUGAAAUAGGACGGCUUGGUUCUAUUUCGUUGGUUUCUAGGAUCACCGUAAUGAUUAAUAGGGAUAGUUGGGGGCAUUAGUAUUCAAUUGUCAGAGGUGAAAUUCUUGGAUUUAUUGAAGACUAAUUACUGCGAAAGCAUUUGCCAAGGAUGUUUUCAUUAAUCAAGAACGAAAGUUAGGGGAUCGAAGACGAUCAGAUACCGUCGUAGUCUUAACCAUAAACCUAUGCGACUA